GGGUACAAUAAAAUACAAAAACAAUAUUAAUACACAAUAUAUACACAAUUUAACAUAGAACAGGUAGGAAAUAUAUAAUCAACCAUGCCACGUGCAUUCUGUUUUGAGGUAUGUAGAGAGGGAUCUCUUAAAGGACUUUAGGCUUGGGGAAGAUUUUAAAUUGUGCGGGAGGUCGUUCCAUAAUUGCGGCGCUCUGUAGGAGAAGGAGGAUCGGGCCGCUUUCUUUUUGUAUUGAGGUAGACUAAAUAAAGUGUUGGUACUGGAUCGGUGGUUAUAGGAGGUGGGAACCGCCGAGGAUAGCAUUCUGCUCAGGUAGGGUGGGAGCUCCCCAGAAAAGCUCUUAAAGCCAAGGCUGGAAAGAUGAAGGGUGCGUCUGGAUUCCAGCGAACGCCAGUUUAGUUCUUUUAGCAUGUCACAAUGUUGGGUCCUGUAAUUACAUUGUAGCACAAAUCAGCAGAACGAGUUAUACAAUGUGUUGAGUUUAUUAAUGUGGGAUUGCGGUGCAGGUGCAUAUACUACAUUUGCUGUACAAUCUUUUCCUUUACAUUAGAUACAGUAACAAUAUUGGUUGUCUUUUAGCUGUGUAAACUCCCUCAGAAACCUACAGAUAAUCCCUAAAAUGCACUCAAUGUGUUCAGAACCACACUUUCUUCUUAUUAUUUAUUAGAAUGCAUCAGGAAAGUUAUCCAUCAAAACUUUCUGUACUUUGCGGGAGAAAGGAAGGAGGUUGCUACAUUCAGUCUGUCUUCAGAGAUACAAAAUUGACCAAAUGGAGAGAAAAAUUAGUCUCUUUACAGACUAAAAUAAAUCCUAGGUAAAAAAGCAAGGGUUCUUGGCAAGGGUUCUAAAUAUAAGUUUGCAAUCCAAAACAAAUGCACAUAUUAUUGGUAAUGUGUCUUGGUCAAAUAUAUCGAACAACUAGGGUUUUUGGAUUCCCAGAGUCACCUCAUUCGUUAACAAAGACUUGAGAAGGAGUCUACAUUAUUUAAACAUUACCAUAAUUAUGUAAUUACCAGGAUUGAUCCAGUAGACACUUUUAGAACCAUCACUAGAUGGGUUUCUUGAAAAUUAUUAUUGAUGACAUCUGACUUAGAAAUAUCUCUAUAGUUCUUGAAAGAUUGUUGUAUCUAAUAGAACAUCAUGAAAUAAUGUAUUCAGGGCGGUACAUCUUUUUUGAUAAUACUGUUUUUCCCCUAUACUUUAAUACUAUUCGAUAUUUACAGUAUUAUAUUAUUUCCACAUUUAAUACAGCAUCAAAUGUUUCUUUUUAUUGCAUUUUCAUCUCCUCAUCUGGCUUUAUUUUUCACCUUUAGAAUGGAUUAUAAAUAAAUCAUUUAACUUAAAAAGCUCAAUAUUGCAAGAACAUCUGAUAAAAGGAAAUAUCAUCAGAAUUCUUAUUUGUGUAUAACACAUUAAAAAAAAAACAUCAUUACAUUGAACUUACAUGCCACUCUUAUUUUAUUAAUUUUAGAGUCUCAAGUAUGUGAAAGUAUCAUUAAAGUGAAUUCAUGUUUUGUGAAGAUUGUCCUGGUGGUUAAAAGAACCCUUCUCCAGCUGCCCAUACCUCAUUCAAAAUUAAUAAUUGCACCUGUGGAUUCUAUGUUGUAUUAUCUUCUCAUCUGCUGGUGGUCAUGCUUACUGUAUUCAGAAAUAGAGAUCUGGAACAUGCAGCGAAUCCAGGUUCAUAUAUCUAACAAAUAAGUGCUAGGUUUUGGCAUUUCGCAAUCUUGGUAAAGUCUUCUGAACCUUUUUGCAACUCAAAGUCUAAAAUGUAGCACUUAUUAAUUGUUCCAAAUUAAAUUCAGUGGAUCUGUCUACCCAUAUGUCCAACGUCUGGACAAUUAAGAGAAGUUGGUGAGUUCUGGUCUUGAGUAGUAUUGAGAAUGUCCCAACUAAGUUCUAUCUUUACAUUGUGACUUUGCUUUUUUUUUUUUUUUUUUUUUACAGUGAGUAACGGUAUAGAUAUGGAUAACAGAUGGUAAAGGUUAAAACACCUUCAGAUCACAGUUUUCAAGCAGGCUUUCAUGAUUUUGAAUCCCGUAAUUAUAAGUACAAUAGAUAUCUUUCAGAUAGUUGCCUUGUAUGUAGCUCCAUCGGGUGUCUAUUAGCUUUUAUAAAAGCAGCUUAUUUAUUAAUGCCCAAUGGAAUGUGUACAACACAAUCAACAGAUCUAGAAGAGAGCACACACAGCUUGAGUCAUUGAGUGAUGCUGGUAAAUUAAACAUCCGAAAAGUGAGACUUGUUUCAUUACAGAACCUGAGAGACCAUUCCCACCUACCAUCUUCAUAAAUAACUCAAAGAACGAUGCUGUCUUAUUUUGCUUUUGUCACUGCACAGCAUGGAUCAAUAUUGUAGUUAUUCCAGUAAAUACUCGAUGGACUCAAACUACAUAGAUGAAUAACAGUCACAUUUUCUCUUCUGUUCAGCUGAUGUCCUUUUAGGUUAAGGAGUCUUUAAUUUUCAUAAGAGAACAGUUCCAAAAUUACGAGACAUUGACAGGGCUACACCAUCUCCAGUGCCAAGUUUGGAUGUAUCUGUUUAGUAAAGAUGCAACCAUGGUUUUCAUUCAGGACAUAUUUCAUCUCCAAUGAGCAAUGACUAAUUUAUAACUAGGUUUCAUUAUUUUGUCUUAACUUGAUAUUCCAAAUGUCAAAGCCUUGUUCAGUUUAUUUCCAUAAGCCUCAAGUUGUUCUUUGUCGAAUUCCUACUUGACUUGCCACACACAAUAUGUAUGUUCUAUUCUGGAAUGAAAGUUCAGAUGUUUUUGUCAAGGUCAUAAACCAAAGGACUGUAAAGUAUUGCUUCUUUGUUGCUAAGAUAAAUUUCUUCACUGCAAUAUCUUUUGGCUCAUAAACAAGACAGAGGAUAUAUUCCGGAUUACCUCAGGGCAUUCUAUUUAUCUGGAUAGGUGUCAGAAGUUCAUAGACAGACUCUGUAUUCUCAAAACUGUAAACUGCCAACAUAUUGAUGUGCACUUUAUCUGUCUGCAGUGCUCUUUAAAUCAUUAUAUUUGACAUUGUUUUCUUUAGAUUAAGUGAAGAAAUAGAAUAGACACCUGUAAAAUGUAACUCCAUUAAUGAACCGUUUGACCUUGGAUAAUUACUAACAGCAGCUUAUUCUGUAAAACUCAGACUUCUUGCAAUUUACAUUGAAUAAUAAGGAAUCUGCCCAGUGACCACUUCCGGUACCGGCGCACACGAGACAUAUUUGAUAUCAUUUCUUUUUAUGGCUUGCACACCUGUUAUCAUGGUACAAAUAAUCUAAAUAGUACCCUGUGGCUGACUCAUGUAGGCAAAGGUAUAAUGUGUUCCAAAUGCAUGUGACAAAAAUGAUGUACCCUUAGUAGUGUGUGUGGAACUGCACUCACUCCCAUAAAUCUGAGCCAGGAUGCUUGCUGAACCGGAAUCAAACACCAGAUUUCCAAAAAUGAAUAAAGUAAUAGAGUGCCUGGACCUCUAUUACUUUAAAAAUUACGUACCAUGAUUAUGCUCUGUCUGGGACACACUGAGCAUUUGGUUGGGUUGGCUGCCCAAUGGCCAGUUUGGCCUUGUCUCUAUCUGAAAGUGUCAGCAUUCUAUAGAUUGCAAAGUGUGAAGUGCAACAUUCUUCCAUAUUUUAGCUAGACAUUUCCAGAACAUCCUUUUUUGCAAAAUGUGUUAAGAACUGAAAUUAAAUGUAUAAUUAAAAACUUCUAUUUUAGAAGAAUUCAUAACAUUAAUUUUAAGCCUGUUCAAGCGUUGCGCAUGAAUUUCUAUAAAAAGCCUAAUUUGGAGGAUGUUAUGGGACAAUGCAUACAGUUCCUAAUUCACACUACUAAAGACUAAUAAACUGUGCUAAGAAAACAUUUAUAGUAGCUAAGAUCAAUUAAUGGAUCCAAGUGGCUUACACCAAAUUACAACCCCAUCAUUUGCACAUGAAAACAGAAAGCUUUACCAUAUUAGGCAAUGGUUUCCCAAUCUUUGAUUGUCAAAGCUUGGUGAUAAUGUACCCAUGUACCCUCAUCACCUUGUUCUCAACUGACACCAGUGGAACCCAAAACAUUUAUUCAUAUAACAAUAAAUAAUUUUCCAGGUUUGAUAUGUUGUGAAGACGGAGAUGGCCUUGUGUUUUAUGUUGUGUUUAUUUUAUUUUAAUAUUUGUACAAAGCAAAAGGACCGGGUGCUUUGCAGUAGUAAAAAGGACAAGUGAAGAGUAGCGUAGCCAUGAUAAAGGUGUUCUAGAGCUGAAACAUUGUUACUUUUUGUCUGGAAUAGACUCCUUUUUAUUCUUGCUAGAUGAUUGGCUAUUUUGCCUUAAUUCAAUGGUUGAGGUUCCUUAGAGUGUGUGUCUUCCAAUAUCAAAUGUUUGGAUGACAACAAAACCACUUAACCACCAUUUUAUAUAUUAAGAUACAACCAAAUAAUUCACUGUUUGACUGGUUUAUAUCAUGUUCGGUUAUGUGAAAGACUAAGAACACUACGGGAAAUAAUAAUCAAUAGUCCAAAAGUAAAUUACUGUUAUAUUUAGAGAUUAAUCAAAUGCAUCUUCCAAAAUAAAAUUUAUUCCCAUGUGUGCUCCAAACAAAAGCCAAAUAUUUGAAUGUCAUUUUAUUUGUAGUUUUAUUUUUACUUAAUGUUUUCUUUUGUUUUUCUAAUUUUAAAUUUUGAAAUAUUGAUUUAAAAAAAAAAAAAAAAAUUAAUGUUAUCAUACUUUUGGUUGCACUAACAUGCCCAUGACCAACAAAGAUUCACACAGUAAAUAAAAAUGUAUUUCUGCAUCUGGCAUUUUCUUGACAGUACUGUAACUGGUUUCCUUUCGUCAUAGGGCAUAAGAUUAUAAUGAGUAUUUGUGCCUUGCUCACGACUGACUCUGUUUAUGUUUAUUAUAUUGCUUUUCAGAUUUUGGUUGAUAAGGGAACACAAAUUUUAUACAAGUGGCCUUUUAGUGCUAUUUACAAUAUCAUUAUUUAUUGUAGUUUUUAAAAUGUAUGUCGAAUUUAUAUUCUGGCACUGUCCAUUAUUUAAAGAAACAAACAGAAAAAAAACUAAAAUUUUGCUAUGUUUAUUUAAAUAUAUUAUGCAACAAGUACUUCUUAUCUGAUUUUUUUAUGUUCUGUCAAUAAAAC
rnacentral:lncRNA from 1 species